CAGGGAGACAACAAAAUGUUUAAUAUUAUUAUUUUGUCACCUUAGGUCGAUCGGUAUCUCAUGUUCUUAAUUUAUUAAGAAUUUCAUUUCCUAAGUUUUUCUAGGUCACACCCAUUAUUUUCCUGGGCCAUUAGCUCAGGUGGUUAGAGCGCACCCCUGAUAAGGGUGAGGUCCCUGGUUCAAGUCCAGGAUGGCCCAUAUCUCUAUGUUGGGGGUAUAGCUCAGUUGGUAGAGCGCCUGCUUUGCAAGCAGGAUGUCAGCGGUUCGAGUCCGCUUACCUCCACUGAUUACCACCUCUUCCAUAAUCUGUAGAAAGGAAAUGUUUUGAGUCGUGAUCAAAUUCUGAACGAAUCUAGCUUCCUAAUGAAAUCAUUAAGAUGCUGGACUCAUUGAAUUAUUUUCAUUGUUUUCAGAGAACCUUGACAACUGCAUAGAUUAUUUUUAAAGACAAUAAGCAUCUUUAACGAUGCAGAUUUAUUAUUUAUGCGAAUGCAUUAAUAACAAUUCUAUUAAGCUGAUGCUUCAAUUUUGAAGUUAUU
rnacentral:tRNA from 1 species